GUCUGUUGUCUGGGCCUGUUAUUCCAGCACCUGUAUUCCAGACCUCUCAAAAUCAAGGGAUGCCCAAAUAAAAUGAUUGGGUUGAUAAAUUGGCAGAUCAAGUUGCUAAAUUAACUGAGAUAGUUAACAAACUGACCCAAGGAUCAACUGAAAGACCAAAGUCUUUUUUAGCAGCAGCUGUGGGUCCCAAGUCAGCUCUAUAAAGCUGACAGGGCAGGGUCAGAGCCCAGGCCCAUGCAAGGUUAAUGAGGCAGUUGCAGAAAAAUGUGAUGUGAUUUCUAACUUCAUGUUUCCUUGCAGUGUUCUUGACCCUAAAAUUGAGGCCGAAGAAGGGGUGUCUCAAUCCACUGCCCCCUCACCAGAGAGGGAGGGCGAUGUGUCUAAUGCAUUGUCUAUCUUGCAGUCUAACCAUGUGAAUUUUUGCACUGAUGUGUCUUCUCCAAAGCGUGAUCCCAUAAUCUCAGCAUCAAUCUGUGAGCUGCCGUCUGUGAGCUGUGACGUAAUCCAGUCUUCUCCAAAGGUGGGGGCUGCUGUGUGCUUCUCCAGAGGUAGUAUCACUGUAGUGGGAUCAAAUCCUGAAAAAGUGUCAGAUGAGUGAGCACCCUAAUUUCCUAUGUGAACUAUUUAAUGAUAUUUUGUUGAUUCAUAUUUCCAAGAUGAACUUAUAGGGCCAAUUAGAGGUUUACCUGACACAGGAUCACAAGCCACUACACUGUCAUAUAGUUAUUUCCAACAGGUUAUGGAUUUGACAGCAAAGAGGCCGCAUUUGAAGUUGUUCGAUGGCUCUUUGAUAAGUGUAGGUGGAGACGCUUUGCAGGUAAAAGGGACAAAAUGGUUAAAACUUAAAAUAGGCAAGAAAAUAAUUAGACAUCCCACAAUCAUUAUAGAUCUUCCUUAUGACCGGCUGAUCAUAGGAAUGGAUCUCCUGAAAAUAUUGAGUUCCAUAGUGGACUUCAUCAAUGUAGCAAUAUGGACUCAAGUAAAGGCACCAAUUGCCUAUAAAUACUCUUGUAAUGCACAGCCACAACCUAGUUGUCACGUGGUUGAAGAGAGGUUUCAUUCUGUUGAAGUUCAUUUUAGGAACAACCAGACACCGGACGUCACGAUCCUGAAAAAUGGUGAUCCCAUGGAAGCUAUUAAUGGUACUGCUCAUACCAUAACCAUCCAGAAGGACAGAAUUGAAAAAGUAAUAUUGGAUGGGGAUGUGCUUCAGGGGAAAUGUUCCGAAGUGGCGGAUCUGACCAGGCCUAGACAAUCCAUGGUUCGGAUAAAAAAGGUAGGUGAUAACUUAUUGAUUCCCAUACAGGUGAACAAUAUGGCCCGGACAAAAUAUGCCAAGUUGGAUCUAAAGUCUGAAGCUAGUUACAUUAGUCUAGAUCUUUUAAAACAGGUAUCCAACCCUAAAGUGAUCAGGUAUUCCUCUCCACAGGACCAGUGGGUUCAUGAUCUGGAUGGUGAUUCCCAGAGUCAUAAUGCGAUUCCAAGAUGUUUACUUUCUAUUUCCAUAGGAGGUAAGACCGCUGAACAUUCCUCCAUCGUGUUGAAUGAGCCACGGUACCAAAUGUAUGUAGGUAAUGACCUUUUACACCCUUUCGCUGUGCAGAUCGAUCUGGUUAACAGUAACCUGUGGUCCAGAUUACCUGGGGAUCCGGAGGGGUUACAGGAUGAAGAACAAACCUUGAGAUGGGGACAACAGAUACCCUAUGCCAUAAGUAUCAUGGUUGCUGAUGAGGUUAAAAUCCCAGAAGGGUGCAAACAUACAUCCGGUAAAGAAGGGGCAGAAGUUAAAGAAUGCAGAUGCUCUCAUCCAUUUGUCUAACUGGAUAGAGCAACUCGGUCUUAAGGUAGCAUACACUCCUAUGGUGAACACCCAACAGAAUCCAUUGCAUAUGGUAAUUUAUAACAUGGCUUCCCAUAGCAUAUCCUUACAAAAGGGAACCAUAACUGGUCUAGAUAUGGAUUUGGGUUAUCACACUUUUGGAUUCCAGAACUAUGUAAUUGGACUUAUUCCUGAUGAAUAUCUGACAGAGGAGGAAAUAGUGGAACAACGUUUUUCCUCAACACCUGAAGUAUUAUUCAAUAUCCACUCUGUUUAUCCUUUCAGUUCUGAAGAAGGUACAUGCCACAUUGAAGAAGCAUUGUUGGUUUUCAACCAUGAGAGCGAUGAGAAGGAGUAUGAGUCAUACCAACUGCAAAACGAAAAGGUUUGGUCUUCCCCAUUGAAUCAGAUCGCGGAAGCCACUUCACCAGUGAGGUAAUGAUGAAAAUGUGGGAGAUACUGGGUGUAAAGAGAAAGCUGCAUAUAGCUUAUCGACUAGCAUCUAGUGGUUGAGUAGAGCGAUACAAUCAGUCCAUUGUAAACAUUCUUAAGAAGUUUGUUAAUGAAUUUUGUAAGGACUGGGAUGUGAAGUUGCCUUUGGUCCUGAUGGCUAUCAGGGCCACACCAAGCGCAGCAACCAAACUUUCUCCAUUCAAAAUGAUCACAGGUAGGAAGAUGGUUUUACCCCAACUCUACCGAACAACUGAUCACAAUUUGAUUAAUGCUUCAACAGCCCAUCAAUAUGUGGAGAAUUUACGAAAGCACCUGCAGCAUGCUUUUGCGUUUGCCCAGAGGAAUUUGGAGAAAGCUGCCAUAAGCACCAAAACCUACUAUGAUCUGAAGUUUUAUCUCUACAACUUUGCCCCGGACCAGGUGAAGGAAAGGAAGUUCUUGCCUCCAUGGAAGGGACCGUAUGUCAUUACUGACAAAUUAUCACCUAUGGCAGUGGUCGGCAAGCCGCGGCUCUUUACACGCUUUAAUGCGACUCUUCUGUGUGCCGGGCACCCGCUCCCCUCCCUCCCGCCCCCUAGCAUGGUGGAGCCGAAGCUGUAAGCUCCCGCUCCACCAUUCACUAACCUUUCACGCACACUGUGAGUACACAGCGUGUUAGCUGCGGGGACGUGAUCCACUAAAA